rnacentral:misc_RNA from 1 species
UCCCCGUUCUCCUGGGCAGUCUCUCCAAAAACCUCGAUCAGGAUGGCAAACGUAGGUAAGGUUCUUCGCGUUGCUUCGAAUUAAAGAACAUGCUCCACCGCUUGUGCGGGUCCCCGUCAAUUCCUUUGAGUUUUAAUCUUGCGACCGUACUCCCCAGGCGGUGUGCUUAAAGCGUUAGCUGCGCCACCGAAACUCUAAGAGUCCCAGCAGCUAGCACACAUCGUUUAUGGUAUGGACUAC